rnacentral:rRNA from 1 species
UUUGAACGCUGGCGGCAGGCUUAACACAUGCAAGUUGAGCGGGGUGAUGGUGCUUGCACUAUCACUUAGCGGCGGAUGGGUGAGUAAUGCUUGGGAAUCUGCCUAUUAGUGGGGGACAACAUCUCGAAAGGGAUGCUAAUACAGCAUACGUCCUACGGGAGAAAGCAGGGGAGCACUUGUGACCUUGCGCUAAUAGAUGAGCCUAAGUCGGAUUAGCGAGUCGGUGGGGUAAAGGCCUACCAGGGCGACGAUCGGUAGCGGGUCUGAGAGGAUGAUCCGCCACACUGGGACUGAGACACGGCCCAGACUCCUACGGGAGGCAGCAGUGGGGAAUAUUGGACAAUGGGGGCAACCCUGAUCCAGCCAUGCCGCGUGAGUGAAGAAGGCCUUCGGGUUGUAAAGCUCUUUCGGCCGGGAAGAAAGCGCACAGGCUAAUACCUUGUGUGGAUGACGGUACCGGAAUAAGAAGCACCGGCUAACUACGUGCCAGCAGCCGAAGUAA